rnacentral:rRNA from 1 species
AACGAACGCUGGCGGCAGGCCUAACACAUGCAAGUCGAGCGCGCCUUUCGGGGCGAGCGGCGGACGGGUUAGUAACGCGUGGGAAUGUACCCUUUUCUACGGAAUAGCCUCGGGAAACUGAGAUUAAUACCGUAUACGCCCUUUAUUAGGGGAAAGAUUUAUCGGAGAAGGAUCAGCCCGCGUAAGAUUAGAUAGUUGGUGGGGUAAUGGCCUACCAAGUCUACGAUCUUUAGCUGGUUUGAGAGGAUGAUCAGCAACACUGGGACGUGAGACACGGCCCACGACUCCUACGGGAGGCAGCAGUGGGGGAAGUCUUAGACAAUGGGCGGCAAGCCUGAUCUAGCCAUGCCGCGUGAGUGAAGAAGGCCCUUAGGGUUCGUAAAGACUCUUUCUAGUGGGGAAGGA